AGAGGAGAGCGCGGAGUUCGCCCGGCGAGGCGGCUCCCCGCCCCGUCCCCUCGCAGCCGCUCCGUGUGCUUUUCCAAAGGAACGUUAAUGCCCCCGGGCUGUCCGCUGCUGCCUCCGCGUUGGCUGCCAGUUGCAGAUGGAUCCCGUUGCGUGCUCCUGGGAAAGCCCUAAGGCAACACUCAAGACUGCAGUGCUGGUGAAGUCCUAGUCUGGCAGAGCCUGAGCACCAUGCCGUGUCUUGUCUCAAGGUCCAUGCAAUGCUGCACGACUUCUUUCCAACAUCUGAAGGAAUGCUGGAAGACAUGGAGCUAUCCCUGUUUGCUCAUAGAGCUGGCCCAGCUUGCGCAGAGAUGGGCGCCGUGCUGAAAUGAGAGGAAGCGUCUCCCACAGUCUGUGCAGCUGCUGAGUGGGUUAAUGAGCCUUUCAUACUGCUCUGUACCCCUCGAUCAUAAAUGGUCUGCCCCACAGUUCAUAUUUUACCCUUCUUUUGUGCUGUGAAGCAGUGCUGGCCCACUUACGCUUCUCGAAAGUCAAUACAAUGGAUGUGCAGUGAUUAUGUGGAGUGUUUUUCAACGUCCCAAUGAAAUGAGUGCUUCUCUCAACUCUUUCACUUUCAUGGAAGCCCCGCAAAGACAUAAGUGAAUCUCUUGGCUUUGAUAUAAAGAGACAAGCUUUGUGGAGAGGAACUUUGCAAUCCUGCCAUCGGAGCACCAACAUUAGCGCCACCUUCUCGCUCUGUUGUGCAGCAAAGGAGCAGCCUUUUGCAAUGAGUGCUUGGAGCAGCAGGCUCAAGCCCAGGGCUUCCUUCAGUGCCAGCAUGGCACACAUGAGCUGCUCAGACUCCAGCAGUGCACUGCUUUGGAAAAUGCAUGUCCUUCCACCAGGUCCUCUUGCACUUCCAAGCACCUUCUCUCUGCACAGAGGCAUGGGAUAACAUACUGUGUCAGUGGGUUUGAAUGAACCUGAUGAGGCGUGUGUAUGGAGGUAUGGCACUGCUAUGUUGUACCCCGCUGCCCCCCUAGCUGCUGCAAUAGAUAAAGAUGCCUGCUGAGCUCAGCCCUAAGCUCUUCACAAGCUGUUACCUGAACCCUGCUGUCCCUCCCUGGUGCUUGGUGAAAACAAGCCAUUCGUCAUCCAGGGCAGCCUUCUGUGAUUCAAACAAGUCUCCUGUGGGACUGAGAAUGGACUAGGCUCCCAUAACCCUGCACUGCAGCUUCAUACACUGUGUGCUUCUUUCUUUGCUGUCACAAAACCUGUAAGAGGGAGAAAUGUUAGAAAGAGAGUCUGAACUACCUGCAGAAGCAGUCCUCUCACAGCAGCCUUCGAGCUGAAUUCGACUAUUUGGAGGGGAACCUGUUUUGUCAGAGCUGCUAUCUCUGGCAGACACUCUCUCCUUUGAGAGAACUGAUGCAGACACGCAGAGAUGCCCUACCAUGUCUUGACUGUGAUGAAGAAAAGCAAUAUUUUGGGAAAUCUGACUUGGAUCGGGUGUAAGAGUUGUUGUCAGAGCCAGGCCAGAUGUUGGCCAUUCUUAUUUUCUAAAUACAGGUUUCUCUGAAUGCAAACAAACACUGCAAGCAUUUUGCUACACUAUAAAUGUAUGUGUUGUACAAGUGGUGGACGAGGGUUAUGUUGGUUUAAGACCUCAUUAUCACUUGGUGGGGAAUGAUUCACUUUUCUAUAAAGCUCGAGCAUUAAUUAAUUAAAAUAUGAUAUCAUC
rnacentral:lncRNA from 7 species